rnacentral:lncRNA from 1 species
UGUCUGUUCCUUUCUCACUCUCUUUAGGGGGAGUCAGCUGCCAUGUUGAGAACAACUUUUGGAGAGGCUCAUGUGGUGAGACUGAAGCCAUCAACCAGUGCCACAAAAGUGAGCUUGGAAGCAGGCACACAGAUGAGUGUAGCCCAAGUCAUACCUUUGAACUCAACCCUUAUGAAGGGCUGAAUCCAAGUGGAACCCAGUGGACAUGGGAGCCCGGGAAACCCUGCACAGUGAGGUAAGUCCCCUGCAAAGCAGAUCACAGGGAAAUGAGUAAUAGAUCCAAGGAGGAACAGGUCCAGAACCAGCACAGCUAGAAAUCGGCACAUCCUGCUGCCC